GUCUACGGCCAUACCACGUUGAAAACACCGGUUCUCGUCUGAUCACCGAAGUUAAGCAACGUCGGGCCCGGUUAGUACUUGGAUGGGUGACCGCCUGGGAAUACUGGGUGCUGUAGACU
rnacentral:rRNA from 1 species